GAUGAACGCUGGCGGCGUGCCUAAUACAUGCAAGUCGAGCGAACGGACGAGAAGCUUGCUUCUCUGAUGUUAGCGGCGGACGGGUGAGUAACACGUGGAUAACCUACCUAUAAGACUGGGAUAACUUCGGGAAACCGGAGCUAAUACCGGAUAAUAUUUUGAACCGCAUGGUUCAAAAGUGAAAGACGGUCUUGCUGUCACUUAUAGAUGGAUCCGCGCUGCAUUAGCUAGUUGGUAAGGUAACGGCUUACCAAGGCAACGAUGCAUAGCCGACCUGAGAGCGUGAUCGGCCACACUGGAACUGAGACACGGUCCAGAGUCCUACGGGAGGCAGCAGUAGGGAAUCUUCCGCAAUGGGCGAAAGCCUGACGGAGCAACGCCGCGUGAGUGAUGAAGGUCUUCGGAUCGUAAAACUCUGUUAUUAGGGAAGAACAUAUGUGUAAGUAACUGUGCACAUCUUGACGGUACCUAAUCAGAAAGCCACGGCUAACUACGUG
rnacentral:rRNA from 1 species